UACGUGGCUCAAUAGGGUAAAUUGCUUACAUAGUAAAACCUGGCCAGCUGAAAUUACAGCUCAGACCUAUGCUCAAAGAAAGCUGCUUAGCAGCUACUUAAGUGUCGAUCUCUCAAAGACCUUUUUAUGCAUGAAAGCCAACACCUUAGGCUAACACCUCAAGCAAGAAUCACCCAAAAACUCCAAGAAACCGACCUUGCCCAGAAGAGGUUUCCCUCCCCUGGGGGUACCGCCAGAACAGACUAUAAAAGCCUGUUCUGGUUUUCAUCUCUUUUCUCUUAUUUCUUCCUCUUGGACACCCACUUUUAUUUACAUUAACUCUUCUAGACAUCCAUACAAAGUAGUUCAAGCUUUAGUUCCAAUCUUUAGACCUUAAACUCAUAUAGAAAACCUUGCUGAAAGAUCACAUAAGUUGCUGUAAGUUCAACAGUUUACACCUCUUGUAUUUAAGCUUAGUUUUUCAUAUCUAUAAGCUUGUUGAAACUAAUCUUUAGCAUUUUAUACAUUCAGGGGAAGCUGUAGGAGUAGUUAACCAAUUGGAUUAAGGAGUUUCGUGGCUUUAAGCAUCCUUAGUAAAGAGUGAAAUAUUGUUGCAGGUUUGGUGUUGUGAGCUCAGGAUUCUGAAGUGAAGCAAGAUAAAGAUGUCGUCGUAGCUUAUGGAUUGAGUUUGUAUCUAGAUAGUGUAUUUGAGAUUAGAUAUUUAUAUUUUCUUGUAUACAAUAUUUGGGAAUAUUAGUCGAGAUAUCGGUGUAAUUGAAGUCUUAUAUAAAGGAUUUUGUUUUGUGGGCCAAUAACCCACAGGUUCA